CAAAGUUUUAAUGAUUACAUUGACACUACAGCUUUGUUUGAUAUGAAAUCUGUGGGUAAUUGGCUCUCCUGGAGUAAUCAAGGUGCUGCUAACAGAAAAAUAAUGGCUCGACUUGAUAGGUGUUUGAUUAAUCAUGAAUGGUUAACAGUUUAUCCAGAUUCACUUCUUGAGUAUGGUGCUCCUUUGUUUUCUGACCAUUCUUUAAUAUAUAUACACGCAGACAAAG
rnacentral:lncRNA from 1 species